CCCGGGGCCGGGCCCGACCGCCACGCAGGCACCUGCCGUCGCCGCCGCCGCCAUACGGGUCGGAGAGGCUGCGAGCCGCUCCCGGGGAAGAUCCGGCUCCCAUCCGGCCCCGCCCGCCCUGCCUUAUCCUGCCCGCAACUCCGGGGCUGCCCGGCUCGAUUCCGGUCUUCCCGUGUCUGAGACAGGCAGACAGACAGAUGGGAAAGGACAAAUGGGGCCUGGUAGCCCUAGCCAGGUGUCCGUCAUUCCUCCUCUCUCAACAUUGAUGGUGAUGCUGGUCUAGCCCCAGAGAGAGUGUCGUAGGUGGAGGGAAGCCUCCUUGGACAGCAGUAAGGAGCUACAGUUUCCCCUUAGGGGCCUAAUUUCCCCCAGAACUCCACUCCCAGUCCCCAAGACCCGCUUUUCCAGACCAGGGCCAGGGAACGGGCCUCUCGUCCAGGUCCCUCCUCCCUGCCUGGCCAGGGGCGGAGACUCCAGGCGCCAGGCUGGCCUGCAGCUGGAGAAACAGACAGCUGUGGCAGCUGACCGACCCCCUGCCCACCUGCUGGUUGUGACUCAGCCUUGGAACCUCUGGAUGCAGAGGGUACCCAGGGUCUAUAGGGAAAAACUGAGAAGCAGAGUGCAGCUUAUACGCAGGGGAGCUUGGAUUUGAACCCAGGCUUUAGCGCAAGACUCCAGAGCACUCUUAACCCUUCAGUGUCUGUAUGAUCAGGGGCGGGUGAUUGAGACACCUUCUCUCCUCCUCUCCGUGGCCGUGGAAUGGGAUAUGUGCAUGUGUAAGCGAAGGGCAUACUUGUGUGUGACUCCAACACCCAGCACAGAGUGGCACACAGCACAUUGUAUUAAACGUUUGAGGAAUA